rnacentral:rRNA from 1 species
AAAUUGAAGAGUUUGAUCAUGGCUCAGAUUGAACGCUGGCGGCAGGCCUAACACAUGCAAGUCGAGCGGUAGCACAGAGAGCUUGCUCUCGGGUGACGAGCGGCGGACGGGUGAGUAAUGUCUGGGAAACUGCCUGAUGGAGGGGGAUAACUACUGGAAACGGUAGCUAAUACCGCAUAACGUCGCAAGACCAAAGUGGGGGACCUUCGGGCCUCAUGCCAUCAGAUGUGCCCAGAUGGGAUUAGCUAGUAGGUGGGGUAAUGGCUCACCUAGGCGACGAUCCCUAGCUGGUCUGAGAGGAUGACCAGCCACACUGGAACUGAGACACGGUCCAGACUCCUACGGGAGGCAGCAGUGGGGAAUAUUGCACAAUGGGCGCAAGCCUGAUGCAGCCAUGCCGCGUGUGUGAAGAAGGCCUUCGGGUUGUAAAGCACUUUCAGCGGGGAGGAAGGCGUUAAGGUUAAUAACCUUGGCGAUUGACGUUACCCGCAGAAGAAGCACCGGCUAACUCCGUGCCAGCAGCCGCGGUAAUACGGAGGGUGCAAGCGUUAAUCGGAAUUACUGGGCGUAAAGCGCACGCAGGCGGUCUGUCAAGUCGGAUGUGAAAUCCCCGGGCUCAACCUGGGAACUGCAUUCGAAACUGGCAGGCUAGAGUCUUGUAGAGGGGGGUAGAAUUCCAGGUGUAGCGGUGAAAUGCGUAGAGAUCUGGAGGAAUACCGGUGGCGAAGGCGGCCCCCUGGACAAAGACUGACGCUCAGGUGCGAAAGCGUGGGGAGCAAACAGGAUUAGAUACCCUGGUAGUCCACGCCGUAAACGAUGUCGAUUUGGAGGUUGUGCCCUUGAGGCGGGGCUUCCGGAGCUAACGCGUUAAAUCGACCGCCUGGGGAGUACGGCCGCAAGGUUAAAACUCAAAUGAAUUGACGGGGGCCCGCACAAGCGGUGGAGCAUGUGGUUUAAUUCGAUGCAACGCGAAGAACCUUACCUGGUCUUGACAUCCACAGAACUUUCCAGAGAUGGAUUGGUGCCUUCGGGAACUGUGAGACAGGUGCUGCAUGGCUGUCGUCAGCUCGUGUUGUGAAAUGUUGGGUUAAGUCCCGCAACGAGCGCAACCCUUAUCCUUUGUUGCCAGCGGUCCGGCCGGGAACUCAAAGGAGACUGCCAGUGAUAAACUGGAGGAAGGUGGGGAUGACGUCAAGUCAUCAUGGCCCUUACGACCAGGGCUACACACGUGCUACAAUGGCAUAUACAAAGAGAAGCGACCUCGCGAGAGCAAGCGGACCUCAUAAAGUAUGUCGUAGUCCGGAUUGGAGUCUGCAACUCGACUCCAUGAAGUCGGAAUCGCUAGUAAUCGUAGAUCAGAAUGCUACGGUGAAUACGUUCCCGGGCCUUGUACACACCGCCCGUCACACCAUGGGAGUGGGUUGCAAAAGAAGUAGGUAGCUUAACCUUCGGGAGGGCGCUUACCACUUUGUGAUUCAUGACUGGGGUGAAGUCGUAACAAGGUAACCGUAGGGGAACCUGCGGUUGGAUCACCUCCUUA